GAUGAACGCUGGCGGCGUGCCUAAUACAUGCAAGUCGAGCGAACAGACGAGGAGCUUGCUCCUCUGACGUUAGCGGCGGACGGGUGAGUAACACGUGGAUAACCUACCUAUAAGACUGGGAUAACUUCGGGAAACCGGAGCUAAUACCGGAUAAUAUAUUGAACCGCAUGGUUCAAUAGUGAAAGACGGUUUUGCUGUCACUUAUAGAUGGAUCCGCGCCGCAUUAGCUAGUUGGUAAGGUAACGGCUUACCAAGGCAACGAUGCGUAGCCGACCUGAGAGGGUCGACCGCCACAUGGGAACUGAGGCACAUCCCAGACUCCGGCGGUAGGCAGCAGUAGGGAAUCUUACGCAAUGCGGGAAAGCCUGACGGAGCAACGCCGCGGGAGGGAUGAAGGUCUUCGGAUCGGAAAACGCUGUUAUUAUGGAAGAACAAAUGUGUAAGUAACUAUGCACGUCUUGACGGUACCUAAUGAGAAAGCCACGGCUAACUACGUG
rnacentral:rRNA from 1 species